rnacentral:rRNA from 1 species
GACGAACGCUGGCGGCGCGCCUAACACAUGCAAGUCGAACGAGCGAGAGAGAGCUUGCUUUCUCAAGCGAGUGGCGAACGGGUGAGUAACGCGUGAGGAACCUGCCUCAAAGAGGGGGACAACAGUUGGAAACGACUGCUAAUACCGCAUAAGCCCACAGGUCGGCAUCAACCAGAGGGAAAAGGAGCAAUCCGCUUUGAGAUGGCUCGCGUCCGAUUAGCUAGUUGGUGAGGUAACGGCCCACCAAGGCAACGAACGGUAGCCGGACUGAGAGGUUGAACGGCCACAUUGGGACUGAGACACGGCCCAGACUCCUACGGGAGGCAGCAGUGGGGAAUAUUGCACAAUGGGGGAAAACCUGAUGCAGCGACGCCGCGUGGAGGAAGAAGGUCUUCGGAUUGUAAACUCCUGUUGUUGAGGAAGAUAAUGACGGUACUCAACAAGGAAGUGACGGCUAACUACGUG